rnacentral:rRNA from 1 species
UGGGGAAUAUUGGACAAUGGGCGAAAGCCUGAUCCAGCAAUGCCGCGUGGGUGAAGAAGGUCUUCGGAUUGUAAAGCCCUUUCGACGGGGACGAUGAUGACGGUACCCGUAGAAGAAGCCCCGGCUAACUUCGUGCCAGCAGCCGCGGUAAUACGAAGGGGGCUAGCGUUGCUCGGAUUGACUGGGCGUAAAGGGCGCGUAGGCGGUUUGUACAGUCAGACGUGAAAUUCCUGGGCUCAACCUGGGGGCUGCGUUUGAUACGUGCAGACUUGAGUUCGGAAGAGGGUCGUGGAAUUCCCAGUGUAGAGGUGAAAUUCGUAGAUAUUGGGAAGAACACCGGUGGCGAAGGCGGCGACCUGGUCCGAUACUGACGCUGAGGCGCGAAAGCGUGGGGAGCAAACAGGAUUAGAUACCCCCGUAGUCC